rnacentral:lncRNA from 1 species
UUGGAUCCCAAUUUUUCAGGAAAUAGCAGGGUUGCAGUUAUUCACCAGUGAGAAAUUUCCUAUACUCUACAAAUGGAGCCAAGAAUUCCUUAACCACCCUUUUGUGCACGAAGUCCUUCCUCCUAGAGACCCACUUUUUGCCUACUUCAAAGCCCGCUAUGAAAGUCUUUCUGCUUCAAAAUAGACUUAUUUAAGGAUAUUUGUUGAACAACUUGUGUCUUGUUGAGUUAUUGCUGUUUGAAUUUCAUGUAAAAUGAUACUAGCUAUAUGUAAAUCCCAGAAAAAAAAAAAAAAGAAUCCUAGGAUCUUGUUUUCGUUUUGGCCAUUUCAGUUAAUAAAGAAAUUAUAUUUUUCGAUAUAAAUUUUGUUGUGAAAAGCUUUAUUCUUCCUUCAUAAAAUCCUUCAAUGUGCAUAAUCUUAUUCGUAGAGAGACUUAGAGCGGCUAGUAGCUACUACCUUGAAAUUUUUUCUUUAAUUCGAAGGACAACGUAUAUAUUAUAUAAUAAUAAUUAUUGCAAGUUGGAAAUCGUGUAAGCAUGUUUCAUGACUAUAUGAGUUAACAAUAUACUGUCUUGCCUCUGCAACCUUCAUGGAUUCUAAAAUUAUUCCCUUGGCUGCAGUUGUUAUUUCAAUGUUGCAACAUGAGUUAACAAUACAUUGCAUUAACAUGAGUGAACAAUACAUUACGCAUGCUGUUUUUAAGGAUUGUUUUAUGAUUUUCUCUGCUGUUUUCUGUGCUGCACAAGUGAUGGCCUUUCAAUUUUCUGAUUUUUUGUUGUUGUUUAUAAACUGCUCUUUACUUUGGAGUACGACUUCACUAUUAAUUCAUGAGACAAUUGCUGAAUUGUUGAAGUCGUGAAAUAUCACUCGACUUCACUAUUAAUUAGUUUUGCAUUUUUAAUAUCACUUAGUUAUUAUUAAUUUAUGGUUUAGUAUUUUAGAAUAUUAGUGUUUAGUUAUUAUUAAUUUACGAUUUAGUUAGAUAAAUUAUUAUACAUGUUAAAUUAAUUUUGUUAAAUUAUUAUUUUGUGUUUUAGAAUAUUAGUGUUUAUUACGGUUUAGUUACAUAAAUUAUUAUAGAUGAUCAAUUAAUUUUGUUAAAUUAUUAUUUUAUGUUUUAGAAUAUUAGUGUUUAGUUAUUAUUAAUUUACGAUUUAGUUAGAUAAAUUAUUAUACAUGUUAAAUUAUUAUUUUGUGUUUUAGAAUAUUAGUGUUUAGUUAUCAUUAAUUUAUGGUUUAGUUACAUAAAUUAUUAUAGAUGAGCAAUUAAUUUUGUUAAAUUAUUAUUUUAUGUUUUAGAAUAAUACCGUUUAGUUAUUAUUAAUUUACAGUUUAGUUAUUAUUUUGUGUUUUAGAAUAUGAGUUAGACAAAUUAUUAUUACACUGUUCACUCCCGUGAAACCUAUAAAAAGAGAGUUCAUUCUCACUUCGAUGCAUCUGUUGCAUCCAAACAAUCACCCUAGUUCUCUGAUUUUGACGUGUUUCUUAGAGUCAUACUGACAUAAUUUUUUUAGUGUUACAUACAUGAAAAAGGUAUUUAAAAAUGUUUUAAUUUUUUACAUUACAUGUAAUCCAAUGAUUCCUUACUAAUCAAUAAUUUUUUUUUACAAAUGGCUACUGAAGAACCCAUAAUAAGAGAUAAUGUUAGUGACUUCAGUGAUGAUGAGCAACAACAUGAUUUUGGUGAACAUGGUGAACCAAGCAAUCAAAGUGAGUCAUCUUCAUAUUUUGAAACUAUUAGUAGCCAAAUUUCUAAAAAUCAAGAGUACUCAAAUCCUUAUCAAAGGACAACGAGUGUUAGUACAAAUGACCUUUAUGAAGGGUUGAUAUUUGAAUCAAAACAAGCCGCUGUGAAUGCCAUUAAACAAUUCCAUUUUAUGCAUUCAUUUAAUUUUGAUGUGGUCAAGAACAAGCGUGACAAGUAUGUUGUCAUGUGUAAUCAAUAUGGUAAUGGAUGUUAUUGGAGGGCGAGAGUAUCGUUCAGCAAAAUACGCAAAAGGUGGGAGCUGAAGAAAUUAAACGGUAUUCACACAUGCACAAAUUCUACCAUAUCACAAGAUCAUGUUAGGUUAGAUUCUUCUGUAAUUGCCCAUAAUAUUGUUCAUUUAGUGAAAACAAAUUCGGAUAUCGAAAUCAAAACCUUGAUUGCAGACAUGCAUCAACGGUUUCAUUACAUUGUUUCAUACAAAAAAGCAUGGACAGUAAACAAAAAGAUCUUGAAAUGGCAUUUGGAAGUUGGGAACAAUCAUAUAGUUACCUGCCUAUAUGGUUCACAGCUGCUCAACACUUUGUACCAGGUACCAUAGUAAAAUACACAACUUCAUCUUCAAUGGAGGAAGGUAACGAUAACCCUCUUAGGGUGAUUCUUAACCGUGUAUUUUAGGCGUUUAAUCCAUGCAUUGAAGGCUUCAAAUAUUGCAAGCCACUUGUGCAAGUAGAUGGGACAUUUUUAACUGGCAAAUACAAUGAUACUUUGUUGACUGCCAUCGGACAAGAUGGUAGUAGGGACAAUUUUCCACUUGCUUUUGCAAUUGUUGAGAGCGAGACUAAAGAAGCUUGGAUAUGGUUCUUGCAUUAUUUGUGAAGAUAUGUUACUCCGCAACCAAAUUUGUGUAUUAUAUCAGACAGGGGAACUGGUUUGCUAGCAACUUUACAAUCCAAACACGUUGGUUGGAAUGGACCAGAUGUUUCGUCUGUGUAUUGCAUUCGUCACAUUGCAUCAAAUUUCAACAAAUAGUUUAAAAAUGUUAACUUAAAAAAACAAGUCAUCAAUAUGGGUAUGUUUCUUCCUAUUUCAUGCAUCAUAUUCUUGCUUUAUUACAUGUUCACUAAAUUUUUUACUCAUUAUUCUAUCUUUUCGCACAGGGUAUGAGAUGAGGAAAUCAUGAUUUGAGGCUAAGUUGCUCGCUAGGCGAGCAGAGUUUCCACAAGCAGCAGAUUGGUUGGAUCAAAUUCGUAAGAGUAAAUUGACUCAGGCCUACGAUGAAGGAAAACGGUAUGGCCAUAUGACUACCAACCUUGUUGAAUGUAUGAAUUCUGUUUUGAAAGGAGCCCGAACAUUACCUAUUACUGCCUUAGUCAAUGAAACAUUUAAUAAAAUAAAUGAUUCAUUUGUCACUAACGACAUCAAAAUCAUGAAUAUGAUAAAGGCAGGGCAUAGGUACUCCGAAGACGUAUAUGUCAUGAUGCAAGAAAAUCAACACAUUGCUACCUCACAUUAUGUUCGCAUGUAUGUUCGAGAAACAAAGGAGUUUGAGGUUCAAGAAAUUGCAAAUACGCGACUUGGUCGACGAGGAAUGGCAUGCACUGUCAAAUUGAAUGAAUGGUUGUGUGAUUAUGGACAAUUUCAAGCACUUCGACUACCUUGCUCACAUGCAAUUGCAGCGUGUGCUUUUUGCAAUUUAAAUUAUGAUGACUUUGUUGACCCUGUAUACAAGUUGGAAAAUAUUUUCAAAGUUUAUCAACAUCAUUUUCAUUCCCUUGGAAGUGAAGACACGUGGCCUCAAUAUUUAGGUCCGCAUUUUAUGUCUGAUCCUUCGAAACGACGACAGAUAUCAGGCAGGCCAGCCACUACUCGGAUACAUAAUGAGAUGGAUGAAUCAAUUCCAAAUAGGCUUAAGAAAUGCUCAUUAUGUAAAACUGAAGGACAUAAUCAGAGUAACUGUCCAUACAAACAAGUACAUAACUAAAAUAACUUGUAAUUUUUAUGUUUUUCUUUCAUUUGUAUUGUGCGUUUUAUAUUAAUGUAUUAAUUAUGUUGUUUUUAAUUUUUAUUGAUAAAUUAUUUAAACUUUAAAUAAAAAACAUUUAAAGUAAACUAUAAUAAAAAUAUAUAUAACAUGUUUUAAAUAAUUAAACAUUAAAAUAAAAUAAUAACAUAUCAAAUAAAAUCACAAAAAAUAUACUAAUGAAAUCAACUUAAUAUUAUUUAUUAUAUAUUUAAAUAUAUAUUUUUUAACUUUUUUAUUUUAAAAAAAUAAAAUUGUUAACAUUAUAAAAUUAAAAAACAAAUUUAUGAAAAAAAAGGUUAACAAAUUAAAAACAAACUACAAAUAGUAAAAUAACGUUUUUAAAAAAAAAAGGAGGUUACGAUCUCAAAAUCGUAUACCUCAUGAAAUUUUUAAAAAAUAAGUAAGACAGUUUUACAACUUUAAAGUAAUAAAACAAAAUACGAGUUUUUUUUUAAUACGACUUUAAAGUCGUAAAAAAAUUAUAUUUACAUUGAAGUUGUAAAUAUUUUUACGAUUUCAGUUAAAAAAAUAAGAAAACUAAAAAGUCGUAAUAGGUGCUAACAACUGUUACAACUUAACCCGUUUUAGAUAAUUUUUUAAAAUAUACCCCAAAUGAAAAAUUGCGGAUUAUUUUAUCCCCAAUUGGUAAAAAAGCACCUGAAUACUAGAAACAAGGGUGGUCAAAGAUUCAAAGUAAUGAAUUUAUAAAAAAAAAAAGAAAAUAUUUAUAUAAUUACACAAAAUCUUAAAAAAUGUUGUUAUUAUUUACUCUAAUUUAUAAUUUGAAUUUAGGAUCGAGUAUAUUUAAGGAAAGUUCUCUACGCGGUUUACGUAAUCUCUUACAUCAUUUAUUUUUCCACGUUUGUUUACUCUGAGGAAUCUUCUUGAUAGGGGAAAGUUUUUUCAUAUUUUUUCUAGAUCCUUCUCAUGUGCAAUGUCUCCGCAUUCAUACGCAGCAAUCAAAAUGGAAUUAAUACACGGUAGCACUUUCCCAUUUUUUUGUUAUCGUCCCCACUAUUGACUAUACCCAUGAUAUGUAUAUAGGUAUAUCUUUUCUAAUUGAUUACGUAUCUGCUGAAUACUAGCUAGUCCUGAUUCCUAGCUCUAUAAAAGGAGAAUACCAUAGGAAUUCAUCACAGACAAACAAACAAUUUACCAGCUAUACUUGUUCCUUUUGAAGGUUAGAAGUGCUACAAUACAAACAAUGGCAGCUACUCAGGAAGAUGUGAAGCUUUUGGGUAUUGUGGGAAGCCCAUUUGUGUGCAGGGUCCAGAUUGCCCUUAAGUUGAAGGGAGUUGAAUACAAAUUUUUGGAAGAAAAUUUGGGCAACAAGAGUGAUUUGCUUCUCAAAUACAACCCUGUUCACAAGAAGGUUCCAGUGUUUGUUCACAAUGAGCAGCCCAUAGCAGAGUCUCUUGUGAUUGUUGAAUACAUUGAUGAGACAUGGAAGAACAACCCCAUCUUACCUUCUGAUCCUUACCAAAGAGCCUUGGCUCGUUUCUGGUCCAAAUUCAUUGAUGAUAAGGUAACUCAACAUUUCAAAAAUCUUCUUAGUUUUCAUGAUUUGUGCUGAUUUGUCAGCAAAACAUCACGAUGAAAUCUAUAUAUGUGAAAUCUUUCUGGUGUGGAAUAUAUAUGUGAAAUCUUUGAAUAUGUUAGAGAACUCAAAAGUCAACAGCCAACCAUGAUUUUUUUUAAUGUAUCAACUUUUUGUAAAACGAUAUUAGUGAUUUGAAACUUUAUGGAAUCAUAUACUAUGACUUUGGGAGAAAUUUUAUUUUAUUUUACUAUUUUUAUUUGGGGUGGGGGGAUUCUGUCAAGUAUUUGUUUCUAUAUAACUCGAUCUAAAUUCUGUUUGUCCUAAUCACUUUAAGAAAUAAUUACUAAUAAAUAAUGUGAUUUGCGAAAUCAGAUUGUGGGUGCAGUAUGGAAAUCUGUUUUCACGGUUGAUGAGAAAGAGCGUGAGAAGAAUGUUGAAGAAACAUAUGAGGCUCUUCAGUUUCUUGAGAAUGAACUGAAGGACAAGAAGUUUUUUGGAGGAGAGGAAUUUGGGUUGGUAGAUAUUGCUGCUGUCUUCAUAGCAUUUUGGAUCCCAAUUUUUCAGGAAAUAGCAGGGUUGCAGUUAUUCACCAGUGAGAAAUUUCCUAUACUCUACAAAUGGAGCGAAGAAUCCCUUAACCACCCUUUAGUGCAAGAAGUCCUUCCUCCUAGAGACCCACUUUUUACCUUCUUCAAAGCCCGCUAUGAAAGUCUUUCUGCUUCAAAAUAGACUUAUUUAAGGAUAUUUGUUGAACAACUUGUGUCUUGUUGAGUUAUUGAUGUUUGAAUUUCAUGUCAAAUGAUACUAGCUAUAUGUAAAUCCCAAAAAAAAAAAAAAAGAAUCCUAGGAUCUUGUUUUCGUUUUGGC